CCCUUAGAUGUCCGGGGCCGCACGCGCGCUACACUGAAGGAAUCAGCGUGGCUUUCUCCCUGACCCGAAAGGGUUGGGAAACCCGUUGAAUCUCCUUCGUGAUAGGGAUUGGGGCUUGAAAUUGUUCCCCAUGAACGAGGAAUUCCUAGUAAGCGCGAGUCAUCAACUCGCGUUGAUUACGUCCCUGCCCUUUGUACACACCGCCCGUCGCUACUACCGAUUGAAUGGCUUAGUGAGGCCUCAGGAUCCGCGCUUAAUGUGUGGAGAAUUUGGACAAACUACGUCAUUUAGAGGAAGUAAAAGUCGUAACA
rnacentral:rRNA from 1 species